rnacentral:rRNA from 1 species
CGCAACGCGCAGAACUUACCUGGUCUUGACAUCUCGGGAAUCAUUUGGAAACAUAUGAGUGCCUCGCAAGAGGAGCCCGGUGACAGGUGCUGCAUGGCUGUCGUCAGCUCGUGUCGUGAGAUGUUGGGUUAAGUCCCGCAACGAGCGCAACCCUUAUCUUUAGUUACCAUCAUUAAGUUGGGGACUCUAAAGAUACUGCCCCGGUUAACGGGAGGAAGGUGGGGAUGACGUCAAGUCCUCAUGGCCUUUAUGUCCAGGGCUACACACGUGCUACAAUGGGUUGUACAAAGGGUUGCGAACUCGCGAGAGUAAGCCAAUCCCAAAAAGCAACUCUUAGUUCGGAUUGGAGUCUGCAACUCGACUCCAUGAAGCUGGAAUCGCUAGUAAUCGUGGAUCAGCAUGCCACGGUGAAUACGUUCCCGGGCCUU